GAUGAAGAACGUAGCGAAAUGCGAUAAGUAAUGUGAAUUGCAGAAUUCAGUGAAUCAUCGAAUCUUUGAACGCACAUUGCGCCCGCUAGUAUUCUGGCGGGCAUGCCUGUUCGAGCGUCAUUUCAACCAUCAAGCCCCAGGCUUGUGUUGGGGGCCUGCGGCUGCCGCAGCCCCUGAAAAGCAGUGGCGGGCUCGCUGUCAUUCCGAGCGCAGUAGUUACAUCUCGCUCCGGGCGUGGCGGUGGGCACCUGCCGUGAAACACUACUUCUAAGGUUGACCUCGGAUCAGGUAGGAAUACCCGCUGAACUUAAGCAUAUCAAUAAGCGGAGGA
rnacentral:misc_RNA from 1 species